UGCAGAAACGCGUGGAUCGUGCGCAAGAACCAGUUUCAUAAUCGUGCUGCCACUUGAAAAUCAAAAGUGAUUUAAAUAAGUGAUCGUGUAUUAGAUUGAUUUCUGAUAAUGAAAUUUGUGAAUUUUUAAGAUGAUAUUUUAGUCUUGAAACAUGAUGAAUUUAAAAAAAGCGUUUCCAACAUCAAAGGGCACCGAAGAUCCUCCACAACUAACACAACGUGUUCAAUAGCGACUCACCCGUCAAUUUGCAUGGUUGCGUCCACCAGAGAUGUUUUCUUCGGAUUGUCUCCAGCCCGACGAUGCCUUUGGAUAGCCAGAACACCGGCACGACGACGAAGGAAGAUCAACGACAUCCCUCUCAACAGUUUUUUUUUUAGAUUAAUCCCGAUAACCAACUCCGCCCAACUGGAGAUCCAGUAUGGAUGGAUGUUCUGCUAAGUUCGAAAAGGCGGAUCUCUUUCCGCUUGAGGGCAACGAUCGUCCCCCCAUGCGACAUCAGCCUUUGAAUCGCGUUGAUAGUAAUUGAGACGUACGCGUCCUUGGGCUGGGACGUGACGCCGCCGUGGGCAUUAUUCGAAACGAGAACACGCGGCUUUCUUAAUUAAGACCUAAUGGCGGCUUUGGCCUCUGUUAUCUCGCGCCAACGAUCUGAAGAAUUGAUUUCUUCAAGGGGGCUGGUCCAGCUGCUAUCGCGCCUAUCACUGUUAAAUCUUACUUCUUUUGAAGAAAUCGCGUAUGUACGUACUGUGAAGGAACGUUGUAUCUGUAAUUGGUCUCGCUAGGUUGGAUACUUCUUCUCGGCGUCAACAGCCGACGUGUCGCAGCCAAGAAUGUUAAAUUGAAUCUUGAUCUUUCGUCGUUCGGUUUGUGUUCUGUUACUUGUCUCAAGUUUGAACGAGGGAAUUUGUAUUUGCGGGGGGAAUGUUCGCAUAGUGGUUAGUUUUGUUCUGACAGGAUAUACGGAAGAUCAGUGGAUAAACUCGUUUUAGACAAAUGAAAAUAGUGUAUUCGGUAAAACUGAAAUUAUAAAUUUCAAGUUAUAAUUGUAAGAUGAUUUGAAAGUAUAGAAAUUUGAGGAAAAUUGGAUUGGAACAAUUUUGAAGUUUCAAAAAUGGCAUUAUAUCAUUAUGGCAAGAUAUACAGAAUAAAAAUCCCGAACUGAACUGAAAGCAAUAAGUUCCAAAAGGCAAAAAUUUUUUUUUCCAUCUCUAGGAUCAUGCAGAAUGAAAAUUCUUUCAUAAGAUUAUUAUUCUCUUUAUUUUUUCCACUUAUUCGAUUCAAGGUUUCCUUAACGAUUGAUAAUGGAGACGUUAUUCAUGUGUCUGAAAUGCAAAAGCAUCUCAUAAAUACAAAUUUUAGCUGACUACUUCAAUGACACGGAUAUUCUUGGCAAAACUUUUAGAUCAGUGUUUCCAACCUUCUUCAAAUCAUUAUCUUCUUUUCAAAUAGAAAUAUUCUCCACGUUCUGAAAACAUUCGUUGACCACAUAGUUGGCCAACAAGUCAAUGAAAAUGCAAAAAACAACUAUUGAAAAUAUCCAUCAGAUGGCGCAACAGUCACCAACGCAAACAAUGUCAUAUAAUACCCACGUCAUUCGAUAAAAUGCUAAUUCUAUGGAGAUAUGAUAAUUUUUCUUUAAAUUUCCAACAGUCCAAUAAAAAUCGAAUAAAGGAGAAACAAGGUAAAAUUUUUUUCACUGAUGUAAAACCCAACCAAACCCUUACAAACAAACGAAGGAACGUAGCAGCUGCAAGCUGAAAAUGCACGACGAAAGAUCCGCACUUUUUCCUGGUCGACGCACACGCGCGCCCAGCUUGUUGCGGUUGUUAUUUAUGGCCGAGCGGUUUAUUGAAAGUGAGAACACGAUUGUUACCAUGAAAACGUUUCGUUGGCGCAUGCGCAAACGGCCGGACAUCCGUGUGUAAGGCCUGCGUUAUUGCUUUAUGGGAGCCUCGAUUUCUCGUAUUCGAAAUCCGGUAUAAUGGAAUCUGGCCACUUUCCACGACAAAUCUAUAGAUCUGGUUGGGACGAUCUUUUCUCCUUUGGAAAGAAAUUCUGAUUAUUCAUGUACCGUUGCACGUUUAAGUCGAUUUUUGAUUUUUAUAGUGUUGACGAUCAAGAUUCUUGGGUUUUGGACGAUGCGUAUGCUGGAUCGAAGAAUUUGAAAUUCGCGCCAAUCGCUAGCGAUAAGAAGAAUGACUUCUGAAAUAGAGAUAUGCAUUUUUUUUAAAGAUUGAAGAAGAUUUUUAUUGGAAAAAUAUUGCCCAACACACAACACGAGAUAACUCCUUCAAGUAAGCUAGGCUAUAAUCUUGAAACGAUUACAAAAGGAAAAUAAUUUUAUGAGGCAAAAUUAGAUGGUUUCACAAUGGAUUCUGCAUAUGCCACUAUUAUGCAUUUCGUGCAUCUACGUAGUUGCAAAGUGCAAUUGCACUUAUUUUGAAUGGAAUCUCCAUACAUUUCAGUGCAAGUUCCUUUGCCAAGAGUAGCAGGGGAAAUCUUCAAGUGCAACAACAAUUAUUACCUGAAAUGAAAAUACAUUUUACACCCAAUAAAUAUAAAUAUAAUUUUAUCUCUUUAAGAAUCAAACAAAAUUCAUUGUCAAGUUUAACUACCAAGUGGAAACAAAGCAAAAAGAAAUUUCAAGAGAAUAGAAACUAAACAACCGUGCAUUAAAACAACUCAAGAAAAUAAAAAACAGCAUGCACACUAUACACUCAACAACCAUUACUAACUCGACCAUCCCCUGUCAGUUAUUCAUCCGUUGGCAGCUCUUAAGUAUAACACCGUUGUUCUCUAACCGACUUGUCAGCCACGAUUGUUCGGAUUCUUACCUCGGUACAUACCUAAGCGAUAAUGGGUUCAGUGAACUUUCCAACAUUCGUUAAAAGGCUUCCCUAUCUCUACGUGUGGUUGGACACACUGUUGCGCGUUCCAACAUGGCGUUACGUGCACACACACACGUGUAGGUGCGCGUACGCACUCGGCCAAGUGUAUGCAUUACCAGCGGGCAGCUUUUUGCGCCCGUAUCAGUAAUAGUAAUCAGGAUUUACUAUCGUGCGCCCCGUUAUUGCACCAUCGGCUCGAAUAACUGCGACAAAUGCUCUCUGGACGCGGAGAGCUCCGGUAUCGAACCCUCAAGGCUGAAUCCUCCGCCAAGGGGCGUUAACUGUGCACGAAAUUGUUCACGGGGCCGCGAAUCGAUGACGCGCCAUUUAUUUUUCCACUUUAGGAUUAACGAGUAACGUUAUGCAGAUUCUUGUCCUUUUUUUUUUUGUUUCUUUUUAACUUUAAUAAAUUUGAAGAGGAAUCAUUAAUACAGUCCAAGAUUUUUUAAAAGUAAAUAAAAAUAUAUUUGUUAAAAAUUUUGAGAAAAAAUAAGGAUUUGAAUUUAUUUGUGAUAUUAAUGAUGAGAUUGGUGUAGAAAAUUUGACGUAGAAAGUAGAAACUUUAUAUAAUAAGAAUUGGAUGAAGACACAAAUCAAGUUACAUUUGAAAAUACAGUUCAGCCUUGAGUGGAUUCGAUUUGAUUUCCAACUAACUAAUAGUCUUUUCCUUUCUACCAAUCUGGUGGAUAGAUCAGAACGUGUCUCGUCAUUGAGAUAUCUAAUAUGAUGAAGAAAUUCGAAUCCAGUUUAUUAUUAUAAACAAAAAGAUUAAAACCUUUAAAAUUCAAUUCGAAA
rnacentral:lncRNA from 11 species